rnacentral:rRNA from 1 species
UACGAAGGGGGCUAGCGUUGCUCGGAAUCACUGGGCGUAAAGGGUGCGUAGGCGGGUCUUUAAGUCAGGGGUGAAAUCCUGGAGCUCAACUCCAGAACUGCCUUUGAUACUGAAGAUCUUGAGUUCGGGAGAGGUGAGUGGAACUGCGAGUGUAGAGGUGAAAUUCGUAGAUAUUCGCAAGAACACCAGUGGCGAAGGCGGCUCACUGGCCCAGCACCGACGUUCAGGCACGAAAGCGUGGGGAGCAAACAGG